rnacentral:rRNA from 1 species
CAUGCAUGUCUAAGUAUAAGCAAUUAUACCGUGAAACUGCGAAUGGCUCAUUAAAUCAGUUAUCGUUUAUUUGAUAGUACCUUACUACUUGGAUAACCGUGGUAAUUCUAGAGCUAAUACAUGCUGAAAACCCCAACUUCGGGAGGGGUGUAUUUAUUAGAUAAAAAACCAACGCCCUUCGGGGCUUCUUGGUGAUUCAUGAUAACUUCACGGAUCGCAUGGCCUUGCGCCGGCGACGGUUCAUUCAAAUUUCUGCCCUAUCAACUUUCGAUGGUAAGGUAUUGGCUUACCAUGGUUUCAACGGGUAACGGGGAAUUAGGGUUCGAUUCCGGAGAGGGAGCCUGAGAAACGGCUACCACAUCCAAGGAAGGCAGCAGGCGCGCAAAUUACCCAAUCCCGACACGGGGAGGUAGUACAAUAAAUACUGAUACAGGGCUCUUUUGGGUCUUGUAAUUGGAAUGAGUACAAUUUAAACCUCUUAACGAGGAACAAUUGGAGGGCAAGUCUGGUGCCAGCAGCCGCGGUAAUUCCAGCUCCAAUAGCGUAUAUUAAAGUUGUUGCAGUUAAAAAGCUCGUAGUUGAAACUUGGGCCUGGCUGGCAGGUCCGCCUCACCGCGUGUACUUGUCCGGCCGGGCCUUUCCUUCUGGAGAACCUCAUGCCCUUCACUGGGUGUGCUGGGGAACCAGGACUUUUACUUUGAAAAAAUUAGAGUGUUCAAAGCAGGCCUUUGCUCGAAUACGUUAGCAUGGAAUAAUAGAAUAGGACGUGCGGUCCUAUUUUGUUGGUUUCUAGGACCGCCGUAAUGAUUAAUAGGGACAGUCGGGGGCAUCAGUAUUCAAUUGUCAGAGGUGAAAUUCUUGGAUUUAUUGAAGACUAACUACUGCGAAAGCAUUUGCCAAGGAUGUUUUCAUUAAUCAGUGAACGAAAGUUAGGGGAUCGAAGACGAUCAGAUACCGUCGUAGUCUUAACCGUAAACUAUGCCGACUAGGGAUCGGGCGAUGUUCUUUUUCUGACUCGCUCGGCACCUUACGAGAAAUCAAAGUUUUUGGGUUCUGGGGGGAG